rnacentral:tRNA from 1 species
GCGGUCGUGCUGAAAUUGGUAGACAGGCACGGUUGAGGGCCGUGUGGACUUUAGUCCAUGAGAGUUCGAGUCUCUCCGACCGCACCA